ACCUGGGUGGCUUACUCAGUUAAGCAUCUGACUUUAGCUCAGGUUAUGAUCUCACGGUUUGUGAGUUCGACCCCCACCUCGGGCU
rnacentral:tRNA from 1 species